rnacentral:rRNA from 1 species
GACGAACGCUGGCGGCGUGCUUAACACAUGCAAGUCGAACGGAAAGGCCCUGCUAUUGUGGUGUGCUCGAGUGGCGAACGGGUGAGUAACACGUGAGUAACCUGCUCUUGACUUUGGGAUAACUUCAGGAAACUGGGGCUAAUACCGGAUAGGAGCUCCUGCUGCAUGGUGGGGGUUGGAAAGUUUCGGCGGUUGGGGAUGGACUCGCGGCUUAUCAGCUUGUUGGUGGGGUAGUGGCUUACCAAGGCUUUGACCGGUAGCCGGCCUGAGAGGGUGACCGGCGACAUGGGGACUAAGGUACGGCGCAGACUCGUACGGGAGGCAGCAGUCGGGAAUAUUGCACAGUGGGAGGAAGCCGGAGGCAGAGACGCCGCGUGCGGAAUGACGGUCUUCGGGUUGUAAACCGCUGUCGCCUGUGACGACGCGGGAGUGACGGUAAUGAGUAAAGAAGCACCGGCUAACUACGUG